rnacentral:rRNA from 1 species
UACGUAGGGUGCAAGCGUUGUCCGGAAUUAUUGGGCGUAAAGAGCUCGUAGGCGGUCCGGUAAGUCCGCUGUGAAAGUCGGGGGCUCAACCCUCGAAUGCCGGUGGAUACUGUCGGGCUAGAGUGCGGAAGAGGCGAGUGGAAUCCUGGUGUAGCGGUGAAAUGCGCAGAUAUUGGGGAGAACACCGGUGGCGAAGGCGGCUCACUGGCUCGUAUCUGACGCUCAGGCGCGACAGCGUGGGAUC